UGAAAGAGAGGUGUGCAGCCCAAACUGAAAUAAAAAAAAGGAUGGGCCGGACCGGGUCGGGUCAGGAUGACCUGGAUCCGCCCAACAAUCUAUUCCAAACAUGGGUUAAAGAAACCCUAGCCAAAAGAAAUGAGGCAGCGCUCAUUCUCUUCUCCCUCACGUGUUCACGUUCUCAUAAAAAACAAAAACAAUUCUCUGCUUCUCUCUCUCACGGAACAACGACAACAACAUUGAAGCUCUCUCUCAAAUUCGUUAGCCCUCUCAUUGAAGAACAACGAAAAAGACUCUCGGUUCUCCUCUUUCAAACGAUUAUCUCUCGCUCUCUCACGAUAGUGAACAGCAGGAACUCGGCGGUUCCUCUCUCUCAUUCAUUUGCUUUUGCCGAAUCAAAUAGCCUUCGAAAUUUCCGGCGGCCAUGGGAGGAAAAUCAGAAGCAAAAAUCCAGGAAAACUAAAGUUCACAGUAACUGCAAUAUUGAGACUGAGAGUGGAGAUGGCUUACCUGCGGCUAGAAGACUUUAGCCGGAUCAUUGUUGCAGGUUUGUCGGUGUUUUUGAAUUUCAUUUGUGGUAGAGAGGUUUGAAGUUGGAUGAUGAGGUGAAGAUAAACAAACUGCUUUUGAUGAAGGUGAUGCCACAACACCUCUUUUGGAUAUUAGGGAGACUUGAAGAUGAACUUCAAGUUGGAACUCUCCACCAAGGUAUGAACUACUUCUUCACCCCUUUUCAAACUAUGGAACUUUUGAAAACUAUGAAAAGAGAGAAAGCAAGAACUUAAGUUGCUUUUGUGUGAUUUGUUGCAAAGGGGGAACUUCCUAUUUAUAGGCAAAGUUUAGGGAUUUGUAAGGAAUUAAGAAACUUGAUUGGGAGGUUAUAGUCAUCUCAAGAAUGAGAAUAAGAAUAAGAAUAUUCUUCAUCAUUGCAAGAGAUAGAAUAUAUUCUCUAUGCAAGUGGCAUGAAAAAUAUCUCUUUGAUUCUUUUCUCUUUUUUUGACUUAUUCUUUUUGAUUUAUUUUGUUGAACCUUUGCUAAUCUCACCCCUCUUUGUUUUCUUUUUCAUGUGACAUGAGUAUUUUGAAGAAAGCAUGAAGAAGCUUGAACUUGAAGGAUGAAGACUUUGAAGAUUGAAGAAUUCAAGAAUGUCUUUGAAGUUUUAUUUUUCUUUUCCUUGUAAUUCCAACUUUGUAUGAAUGAAACUUUGU